rnacentral:snoRNA from 1 species
CUGCAUCCACUGAUAGACCUUGAACAAAUUGUUAUUAUUUUGGUUUGCAGUAGAUGUGAAAGAAAAAGCUCCCUGUGCUUUCUGUCUUUGUGGCAAUCCAGAUUGAAUAGGGGAAUAUAUGU